AUGAGCUCCUGGAGCCAUUUGCUUUGAAAUGUGCACAUUUCACAGGCGGCUGCCUGCCAAUGAGACAACUCUAAGCAGGACCAAGAAAAAGGAAAAGAGAGAGAUGCCGGAGAUUUCCCUGACAUACGCAAAAGAAAGGAAACCGGAAAGGCCCAGAGUGCUGAUGGAGUAAGUGAAGGCAGAGCCUUGAGGAAAUUUUUUUCUCGGCUCUUCAUCAUGAAGACCUCGGGAGAUUUCUGGAGGUAAAACCUGUGGAAAUAUGGAGGCACCUCUAAGACUGUUGUCCCCAGGAGUUUCUCAUUCUCACACUAGAUGACACUCAGCCUCCAUCAGCUCACCAAAAUUACCAUUUAGUUGCUUCUAUCAGUUGUGGCUGCACAGGUUUGUGCUCCAGGACACAAUUGGAAAUAUUGAUUAUAUUACCAAAGCUUUGACUGGAAUGUCAUAUUUGAGAGAAACAUACAGACUAAGAUAUGACAAGACAGUUUUUGAGAAAUAAAGGUUGACUUUAUGGAAUAAAGCCACCUGGAAAUAUUGGCCUGGUACCUUACUUAAAGGGUUGCCAGUAACCUUACCAGGUUUUGUUUUCUAUCUGUAAACUGGACUGGAUCCUAAUUCUUCUAGUGUCCUGAAAUAUCUUGCUACAAAUCUCCCAACUAAUGUUUUCAAAUUUUUUCCCGUCAUUUUCAUUGGAAAUCAUUGAGAACUAAAACUGACCUUUUUCCUGAAUCCCUCCAAACUGAAGCUGGACAACUUGAUAUAAACUUAAGAGAGAUUCAUGUCUGUUGCUGUGUAAGCCACUCAGGAAGAUACCUGAACACCCAGUGACCUCAGAGACAUUUCAAACUGCCAAAGAUGCUUUGACUCUGACAUCUAGAGAUCUUUUUGGCUGGCUGCCCCCUUGGCUCAGAAAGUGGAAUGUGAUGAUCCCAGACAGAGAGUCUAUGCUGAUAACCAUCAUUGAAUGACAACUGAAAGAUCUGGUGUGGUGACUCCUAGUCUGUAACACGAGAAAGUCAACAUUCCUGACUCCCUCCCCUAAAACCCACUGGCCUAUAUAACUGCUUCAAGAUUCUUGUGCCCUCCUUAAGAUGGUUCUUUAGGACACUAUUCCUCCCAUCUUCCAAUUUGCUAGCAUAUUGCUUAAUAAAAUGCCCUUUUUCUGCCACGAUCUUGCCUCUUGACAAUUGGCUUUUGUCUUGUGGCAAGUAGAUUGUGCCAUUUGUGCAGUAAUGUACACACAAUAUUUCUAAGUGUUGGUAUGAAAAAAGAAUG
rnacentral:lncRNA from 1 species